CGGUCGAGGUAGAAAUUUUAAUAUGGAACAAAGAGCAGUGAUUAAAUUUAACGUAAAACUUGGUAAAAGUGCAUCAGAAACAUUCCGAUUGAUGCAACAAGUUUACGGCAAUCAAUGUCUAGGUCGUACAGCUGUUUUUGAGUAGCAUAAGCGUUUUUUGGAAGGCAGAGAGACCCUUAAAGAUGACAAAAAAUCAGGACGGCCAAUUUUGGUUCGAACACCCGAAAUGAUCGAAAAAGUACGUGAUUUUGUUGCAAACGAUCGCAAUGCGUCACUAAAAAUGAUGAAGGAGGCUUUAAAUAUCAGUAGAGAAACGAUUCGAACCAUAUUACAUGAAGAUUUGGGUAAAACGAAGAGACAUCGUUGCAGCCGCAGAAAAUAAUCCAAACUUCCUAAAAUCAAUUUCAACUUCUCAUUAUUCCCAAAAUUGAAAUUGAAAUUGAAAGGACGCUUUUUUGAUGACAUUCCGACCAUCCAAUCAGCUUGUACACAGGCACUACAGGCAAUUCCGCAAACUGAGCUGGAACAUGCAUUUGAAUCACUAUUGAAUCGCUGUAAUAAGUGUAUUGAAGCCAGAGGAGAAUAUUUUGAAUAAUAAAACCAAAAAAUAUGCA